UGUUGCAGGAGAGUGGGGUUGAGCAAGUGAGGAUUUUCCAGAAUCCAGAAGGGCAUGAAGACUUAAGGUCUGAGACAGAGCGGGCUUUGGAAAGUCCCUCCACAGACCACUUUCCAGGAGGUGAGGGUCCCAGCACACACGGUUAACACGAAAUGAGGAAUUCCUUUGUGGUCAGCAGCCAAAUAUUUGCAGAGGACCGAACCUCUCUUUUGGGUGGACUCUUGAACAGACUAAAAUCUUCCCACGGCCAGAGAAAGGUGGUGAAACAAAGGUUACCGUAAUCUAGUACCCUAAGGGCCUACAAAAAUUAGUAUUCAAGCCAAAAGAAACCAAAUUUCAUUUUGCCUCUUUUAUUUACAACUUUAAAUAUCUCUAACGGUUAGAAAACUGAUGUGAAAUACGAACACUGGUAUACAGCUUAAAAUACAAAUGUCCGUAAUUAUUAAAGAACACGGUUAAUAAUUUUUCCAAGUAAAUGCUUGAUAAGAAAUCUUUUCCAGGAGGCAAGUUAGACAUCAGGUGCCUGAAGCAUAAGGACCAGAGCUUCAGGGUGCCCAGGAGAUGGCUGCACAGCUCAACCAUGUUUUCCACUCGGUGAUCCACACAGCAGCUUGCUUGACGAGUGGCACCACCAGCCUUUCUAGCCCGCUCCAGCGCUAAACCAGGGCUGCUUCUGCCACGGGAAAGAGCCACGUCCAGAGACAAAUGAACCACUUGAAGAUGAAA